UGGCGGCAAUAGCGCGGUGGUCCCACCUGACCCCAUGCCGAACUCAGCAGUGAAACGCCGUAGCGCCGAUGGUAGUGUGGGGUCUCCCCAUGUGAGAGUAGGAUACUGCCA
rnacentral:rRNA from 2 species